rnacentral:rRNA from 1 species
CCUACGGGUGGCAGCAGUGGGGAAUAUUGCACAAUGGGGGAAACCCUGAUGCAGCGACGCCGCGUGAGUGAAGAAGUAUUUCGGUAUGUAAAGCUCUAUCAGCAGGGAAGAAGAAAGACGGUACCUGACUAAGAAGCCCCGGCUAACUACGUGCCAGCAGCCGCGGUAAUACGGAGGGGGCACGCGUUAUCAGGAUUUACGGGGUGUAAGGGGAGCGUAGACGGCUGUGCAGGUCUGAAGGGAAAGCCCAGGGCUCAACCCUGGGACUGCUUUGGAAAAUGGGGAGCUAGAGGGCUGGGGAGGGAAGUGGAAGUCCUAGUGUAGCGGUGAAAGGCGUAGAUAUUAGGAAGAACACCAGUGGCGAAGGCGGCUUUCUGGACUGAAACUGACGCGGAGGCACGAAAGCGUGGGGAGCGAACAGGAUUAGAUACCCCAGUAGUC